GGAGACAUGACAUCAACUAUUUGGACAGAUAGUAGGGGUGGUAUGGUUCAUGAAUAAACAUCCGAACCGCUCAGUUCGCUUGUCUCGGUUCGCUUGUCUCGGUUCG